rnacentral:rRNA from 1 species
GACGAACGCUGGCGGCGUGCUUAACACAUGCAAGUCGAACGGAAAGGCCCUGCUUUUGUGGGGUGCUCGAGUGGCGAACGGGUGAGUAGCACGUGAGUAACCUGCCCUUGACUUUGGGAUAACUUCAGGAAACUGGGGCUAAUACCGGAUAGGAGCUCCUGCUGCAUGGUGGGGGUUGGAAAGUUUCGGCGGUUGGGGAUGGACUCGCGGCUUAUCAGCUUGUUGGUGGGGUAGUGGCUUACCAAGGCUUUGACGGGUAGCCGGCCUGAGAGGGUGACCGGCCACAUUGGGACUGAGAUACGGCCCAGACUCCUACGGGAGGCAGCAGUGGGGAAUAUUGCACAAUGGGCGGAAGCCUGAUGCAGCAACGCCGCGUGCGGGAUGACGGCCUUCGGGUUGUAAACCGCUUUCGCCUGUGACGAAGCGUGAGUGACGGUAAUGGGUAAAGAAGCACCGGCUAACUACGUGCCAGCAGCCGCGGUGAUACGUAGGGUGCGAGCGUUGUCCGGAUUUAUUGGGCGUAAAGGGCUCGUAGGUGGUUGAUCGCGUCGGAAGUGUAAUCUUGGGGCUUAACCCUGAGCGUGCUUUCGAUACGGGUUGACUUGAGGAAGGUAGGGGAGAAUGGAAUUCCUGGUGGAGCGGUGGAAUGCGCAGAUAUCAGGAGGAACACCAGUGGCGAAGGCGGUUCUCUGGGCCUUUCCUGACGCUGAGGAGCGAAAGCGUGGGGAGCGAACAGGCUUAGAUACCCUGGUAGUCCACGCUGUAAACGGUGGGUACUAGGUGUGGGGUCCGUUCCACGGGUUCCGUGCCGUAGCUAACGCUUUAAGUACCCCGCCUGGGGAGUACGGCCGCAAGGCUAAAACUCAAAGGAAUUGACGGGGCCCCGCACAAGCGGCGGAGCAUGCGGAUUAAUUCGAUGCAACGCGUAGAACCUUACCUGGGUUUGACAUGGAUCGGGAGUGCUCAGAGAUGGGUGUGCCUCUUUUGGGGUCGGUUCACAGGUGGUGCAUGCCUGUCGUCAGCUCGUGUCGUGAGAUGUUGGGUUAAGUCCCGCAACGAGCGCAACCCUUGUUCACUGUUGCCAGCACGUUAUGGUGGGGACUCAGUGGAGACCGCCGGGGUCAACUCGGAGGAAGGUGGGGAUGACGUCAAGUCAUCAUGCCCCUUAUGUCCAGGGCUUCACGCAUGCUACAAUGGCUGGUACAGAGAGUGGCGAGCCUGUGAGGGUGAGCGAAUCUCGGAAAGCCGGUCUCAGUUCGGAUUGGGGUCUGCAACUCGACCUCAUGAAGUCGGAGUCGCUAGUAAUCGCAGAUCAGCAACGCUGCGGUGAAAACGUUCCCGGGGCU